AAGAAUGAGCCUGCGAGUCAGCGGCAUGUCGCGAGGUUAACCCGUGUGGGGUAGCCGUAGGGAAACCGAAUCCUAAUGGGGUGUUUAGUGGCAUGUCCUGGACCCGAAGCGGGGUGAUCUACCCAUGGCCAGUGUGAAGCAGCAGUAAGAUGCUGUGGAGGCGCGAACCCACGUAGGUUGAAAACUGCGGGGAUGAGCUGUGGGUAGGGGUGAAAGGCCAAUCAAACUCCGUGAUAGCUGGUUCUCCCCGAAAUGCAUUUAGGUGCAGCGUCGCAUUAGCUUGGUGGAGGUAGAGCUACUGGUUGGUUGAGCGGGACUACAAUCUUAGCAAUGUCAGCCAAACUCCGAAUGCCAUUAAUGUGUUGUGCGGCAGUGAGACUGUGGGGGAUAAGCUUCAUAGUCGAGAGGGAAACAGCCCAGAUCGCCGGUUAAGGCCCCUAAGGGUGUGCUAAGUGGAAAAGGAUGUGGGAUCGCGAAGACAGCCAGGAGGUUGGCUUAGAAGCAGCCAUCCUUGAAAGAGUGCGUAAUAGCUCACUGGUCGAGUGGUUCUGCGCCGACAAUGUAGUGGGGCUCAAGCACACCGCCGAAGCCGCGGCAAUAAUAUUUUGUUAUUGGGUAGGGGAGCGUCGUGCACGUGUUGAAGCGUUACCGUGAGGAGGCGUGGAGUGUGUGCGAGUGAGAAUGCAGGCAUGAGUAACGAAUUGGAAGGUGAGAAUCCUUCCCGCCGGAUGACUAAGGGUUCCUGGGUCAAGUUCGUCUUCCCAGGGUGAGUCGGGACCUAAGGCGAGG
rnacentral:rRNA from 1 species